CGGACGAACGCUGGCGGCGUGCUUAACACAUGCAAGUCGAGCGGUAAGGCCUUUCGGGGUACACGAGCGGCGAACGGGUGAGUAACACGUGGGUGAUCUGCCCUGCACUUCGGGAUAAGCCUGGGAAACUGGGUCUAAUACCGGAUAUGACUUCAGGUUGCAUGACUUGGGGUGGAAAGAUUUAUCGGUGCAGGAUGGGCCCGCGGCCUAUCAGCUUGUGGUGGGUAAUGACCUACGAGGCGACGACGGUAGCCGACCGUGAGAGGUGACCGGCCACACUGGACUGAGACACCGGCCCAGACUCCGUACGGGAGGCAGCGAGGUGGGGAAUAUUGGCAC
rnacentral:rRNA from 1 species